CUUUAUGUAAAAAUUAAGGAAAUUUGUCCAAUUGAAGUUCCAGGAAAAUGAACGAUUUCAGUGUAUCACAUUUUAUGGAAUGCUAAGUAUAUCGAUAGAAAAUAGUUUUUAUUUUAAAAUUUUCGUGAAACGGAUUGAUGUUCGUAUUCGUGUCGUGUUUACAAUAAUCGGAUAAAGAAUUUUCCGUGUUUUAAUACAAUAUUGUGUGUUGUGAAAAUUAUAGAUACCCGGAACAUUCUUAACUACCAAGAUGGUCAUUUCCUCAUUUGUGAACUGUAUAUACCCGGAAAAUUCUCAACUACCAAGAUGGUCAUUUCCUCAUUUGUGAACUGGUGUUGGUGCGCGAUUCUACGCGAAAUUUUAACCCGUUAACGAAACGAAAGGUAAGUGUAGGACACGUUUCAUAAUGCGGUUUGCCAAAAAGUAGUUGAUUGUUGGAUAAAUAACAAAAAAAAUGAUUUUCCAUUCUUCAUAACAAAUAUUUCAAACGACAUAUUUUACGUUUCUACUUGGUACUGCUAGAUAAUUCAAUUCAUUUAAACGUACGAUGAAAUUUUCCAAUAUUUUAAAUCAAAUAAAUUUUUCUCCAUCCAUUAUUCCAAAAUAUAUGCUGAUAAAUUGAUAUUUUUCCCAAAAAUUGAAUGUAACACAAUUUCAAUAUGAUAUACGAGGAAUAUCCACUAAGAAAGUUCCAUUUGGUUAUAAAAGAACAUACGAGCAGGUCAAAAAACAUAUUUUUCAUGCUGUUAACCUAAUUUUCUAUGUAGUUUCGAAAAUUUUUCUUCCGGCUCGUUUCAACUUUUAGCGAGAGAUUUCAGGUAUAAGAAGAGAUGAAAGUCGGUAGGAGUGAGGUCCGAGCUAUACGGAGGAUGAUCAAACACACCCCAGCCAAAUUCUUGGAGCGGUUUUUUUGUCACGUCACAGUGGGAGAUGGGGCAUUAUCGUGAAAAAAAAAACAAAAACCAUUUGACAGUAAUCCUCGGAGUUUACCCUGUUUCUUAAUUUCCACGCAUGUGCCUAAAUCAAACGGCAAAACGUCGGAGCAAACGGUGGAAAUGAGUUGUCGAGGUGUCGAAAUUUGCUUAGGGGUAUCGUAAGAUACCAAAAUUUCAUCCCCUAUGACUAUUCGAAAUAUAGGUUAGAAAAGGAACUUAAAUUGUGGAUGUACCUCGUAUGAAGGAAAUACUAAAAUCAGUUAUUAAAACUUUUUAUUCAAAUUUUUCUGAAAUUUUCGGUCCGAAUUAUUGCAUCAAAUUUUGAUUGAAAUGAUUUUUUUUGUUAUUUAUUGAGUGAGCAGAACUUUGAUCAGAUGUUGUUGGUUUUUGUGUUUUUUGGAAUCCUAAGAAUAUUUUGUUGAGAUUAAUACAGUUACAGAUUUAAUUAUUGAAGAAAAAUAGAUUGAAUUUAUUUUUGAAUAACUUUUUUAACAUUCAGAAAGUUUUAACAAAUAUCCAAAUUUCGACUACUCCCUUACAUUCAAACAGAAGAUUGUUAAUAUUUAUGACUAAAACUAAUUUUUCUCAUUAUAUGAUACUGAUCAAAUAAAAUCUUGACGUUGUUAUUUUGGAUUGAUCAAUUCUUUUCAGCGUUUACUGUAACACAUUUAAGUCCAGUAAAUAUUUGAUGAAUAAUUAUGAUGAUAAUCAUAUGAUAGAAUUUCUCGAAUACACCUCAAAUUCACUUUGAUUCGAAAUAGUAGUACAUGGAUCCUUCUGAUCAAUAUAAAUGAUAAUUAGAUAAUUGAGUAACUUGAAGAUGCGAUUUCCAUUCAAAUGACUUUCCGAGUAAUCUGUUGAGAUUUUCCUGAUCUUUGAGAACAAAUCUGUUGGGUUAAUGAGAUGAUUGUGUGAUGAAUGUCAUAAAUGAGGUAGGCAACCGCCGCGAUAUGGAAAAGUGAUUCGUAAUUUUCGGUAUCGAUUUCGCUGUGUCGCGAAUCGGUUUUAAGUGAUGGAUAUCAUGGAAAAGGAAAAUGGAUAUGGAGGCUUUCCUAUGUGGACAAAGUUAUGUGUUUGUGCGCGAUUCGACGCGAAAUUUUAACCCGUUAACGAAACGAAAAAUAUAUAGUGUGCGAAUCGAUAAAGCGGUUUGCCAAAAGGAAGGUGAUUGUUGAAUAAAUAACAAUAAAACAUAUUUCUUCAAUUUUUGUAACAAAUAUGUAUUUUAAAUUACAAAUAUAUGUGUUUCUAAAAUGGAAAUGCUGCUGCACGAGGAAUAUAUGAAUACAUGUAAAAUUCUAUUUUCUAUUAUUGUUUUUCUGUGUCACGUUUCUUUCCAAAACUUAACCUGUCUGAAAAAAAAAUUUUUUAUGUAAUAAAUUUUUUACAAAUUAAAUUUACAAAUAUAAAAAAAAUUAUAGAUAUCUGGAGAAUAAUAUUCGUAUGAAUUUGUCUUUUUAUGUUUGUUUUUUUCAGUUAAGUAAAUUGAAAGUAUGUGUGUGAUAAUUAUUGUAUCUUGUAUGCGUGUGUAAAAAAUUCCGUUUUGCAAUCUUCAUAUCGAUGGCUACUUCAUUUGUUAUAAAUUUUCGUUUUUCUCUCCCAAACUGGACCUGAAAUUUAAAAAUAUAAAAUGUUGUAAACUUCGAAUAUGUGAAUUACUUUGAUAAUAAUUGAAUGAUAAAAUAAUUAUACCCUGUUUUGUUCUUAUGCAGAAAUUGAUAAAAUUGAAUUCUUCGAGAUGAAAAUUACAUUUUUUUAAUAAUAAUUCGAAAAAAAAAACAUAUUUUCUGGACAUUUUAUUUUAUAAUCGACUGUGAACAAUUUAUUCAAACGUUAAUUGUUUCUAAGUCAUAUCAACCCUUAAAAAAAGAAAACUGCUUCUGUUUCUUUUUUAAUUUUGAAUGUUUUCUGCUCAAGUUAAUUAAAUUAAAUGGAAAAUUUUUUCAAACGUAAAUUAUUUCUAAUAUAUAUCAAUCAUUUAAAAAAAACACUGAAUCUGUUUAUUUUUAAUAUUCUCUGAUCAAGUUAAUAGAAGAAAGUAUGUAGGUAAUAAUGAUAAAUACCUUUUACGGAAUGGAAAUUUUCCAAAGUCCAUCAAAUAGGAAGCAAACUUGUGUGAAAAAACAGCUAUUUCAUUUUUUAUAAAUUUUCGUCUUUCUUUCCCAAACUGGACCUGAAAUUUAAAAAUAUAAAAUAUUGUAAAUUUCGGAUCUGUGGAUUACUUUGAUAAUUGAUUGAUAAAAUUAUUAUACACUGUUUUGUUCUUAUGCAGAAAUUUAUAAAAUUAAAUUUUUCGAAACUAAAAUUCCA